CCUACGGGUGGCAGCAGUGGGGAAUAUUGGACAAUGGGCGAAAGCCUGAUCCAGCCAUGCCGCGUGUGUGAAGAAGGCCUUCGGGUUGUAAAGCACUUUCAGUGGGGAAGAAAGCCUUGGGGCUAAUACCCUCGAGGAAGGACAUCACCCACAGAAGAAGCACCGGCUAACUCCGUGCCAGCAGCCGCGGUAAUACGGAGGGUGCGAGCGUUAAUCGGAAUUACUGGGCGUAAAGCGCGCGUAGGCGGUCUGAUAAGCCGGUUGUGAAAGCCCCGGGCUCAACCUGGGAACGGCAUCCGGAACUGUCAGGCUAGAGUGCAGGAGAGGAAGGUAGAAUUCCCGGUGUAGCGGUGAAAUGCGUAGAGAUCGGGAGGAAUACCAGUGGCGAAGGCGGCCUUCUGGACUGACACUGACGCUGAGGUGCGAAAGCGUGGGUAGCAAACAGGAUUAAUACCCGUGUAGUC
rnacentral:rRNA from 1 species